rnacentral:rRNA from 1 species
UAUGUUCUUGAAAUUUAAAGAAUUUGGCGGUAUUUUAGUCUAGUUAGAGGAACCUGUUUUAUAAACGACAUUACACGCAUUAUCUUACUUUUUUUUGUAUUCAGUUUGUAUACCGUCAUUAUCAGAUAAUUUGAGAAAUAACAUUAUUGGAAUCAUAGUUUGAGUAUAUUAGAUCAAGGUGCAGCUUAUAAAUAAGAAAAAAUGGGUUACAAUAAAAUUUAUUUAUAACGGAGUUAUAAUUUAAAGAUUUUAAUGAA